GGACGAACGCUGGCGGCGUGCUUAACACAUGCAAGUCGAACGGAAAGGCCCUGCUUGCAGGGUGCUCGAGUGGCGAACGGGUGAGUAACACGUGGGUGAUCUGCCCCUUACUUUGGGAUAAGCCUGGGAAACUGGGUCUAAUACUGGAUAGGACCAUGCUGUAGGUGGUGUGGUGGAAAGAUUAGUUUCGGUAAGGGAUGAGCUCGCGGCCUAUCAGCUUGUUGGUGGGGUAAUGGCCUACCAAGGCGUCGACGGGUAGCCGGCCUGAGAGGGUGGACGGCCACAUUGGGACUGAGAUACGGCCCAGACUCCUACGGGAGGCAGCAGUGGGGAAUAUUGCACAAUGGGCGCAAGCCUGAUGCAGCGACGCCGCGUGGGGGAUGACGGCCUUCGGGUUGUAAACUCCUUUCAGCCACGACGAAGCCCUUGUGGUGACGGUAGUGGUAGAAGAAGCACCGGCUAACUACGUG
rnacentral:rRNA from 1 species